GCUGGACACAGACUGUGUGCACCGGUCAAGUGCACAGAGGGUCUUGUGCAGCCAGCUGAGUGAGGGACCCUGCUUCCCACCUGCAUCUGGCCCCCGCAGCCAGUUCUGCCCGAGGAAUAUGAGGGCCUCUCCUCCCUUGAAUGCAAAGGGGCCGCACAGAAAGGGGGCCUGUGACGGAGGCGGCCCCGCGGACACAGAAACAAGCUCCGAUUCUCUGGGAGGCAUUGCCUUUCACGAAGUCCUGGGAGGGAGAAUUUCAGAGGCCCAGUCUGAUUCAAGGAGAACUCCAAAUGACUCGAGAGGUUCCAGGAUGGCGGCCUGGAUGGCGCCCCAGUCGGGGUUAUUCUCUCCUUUCCACUGCCAACCUGGUGAACGAUUCAGCCAAAGACGCCGGGACCAAGGACGGGACGGAAUGCCAUCUAACGGGACAGCCUGUGAAACCCGAGGGCCCCCAGGAACCCGGUGCCUCCUCCUGAGUCUGCCAAGGAUGGCGACCCUUGGAAGUUCAGUUUGGGAUUCACUGCGACACCGAAUCAGGGCGACUCAGAGGCAUGGGUGCUUUCUCCGUAGCAGGCAGAACAGGCAACAUCCCCAACAGUACAGGCGGAGACAAAGUUGCAGAAGCUCCAAUAAAAGCCUUAUGAUGCCA